rnacentral:tRNA from 1 species
GUGUCUGUAGCCUAGUUGGUAGAGGCAGCACUCUAGUUUGUGUCUCAGAUUAGCUAAGUUCGUGAGUUUGAAUCUCACCAGACACA